UACAGAGGUCUCAAGCGUUGUUCGGAUUCAUUGGGCGUAAAGGGUGCGUAGGCGGCGCGGUAAGUCGGGUGUGAAAUCUCGGAGCUUAACUCCGAAACUGCAUUCGAUACUGCCGUGCUUGAGGACUGGAGAGGAGACUGGAAUUUACGGUGUAGCGGUGAAAUGCGUAGAUAUCAGGAGGAACACCGGUGGCGAAAGGCGGGUCUCUGGGCCGUUACUGACGCUGAGGAGCGAAAGCGUGGGGAGCGAACAGG
rnacentral:rRNA from 1 species